GAAUUAUUAGGAAAGCUUUUGAGAAACAUGAAGGGAAAUUUCCACUUUGUAAGGUGAGAAGAUGGAGAAGAGCUUUAACACAAGUUGCAAACUUCGCUGGUUGGGAUGCUAGAAACAAGGAAGCAAAAGUGUUCAAAGUAUAGUUUUGAACCUAAAGCAACAAUUUGAAGCAAAUUGGCACCCAAAUUGCUUCUCAAAGAUGAGUAAUCUUAGAUUAUUCUGCUUAAGUAAUGUUCAUCUUUUGCAUUGUCUCGAUUCUCUUCCUACUACACUAAAAGUUCUCAAAUGGGAGAAAUAUCCUGUGGAAACUCUACCACGCAAUAUUGACCAACUAUAUCAACUUGUGGACCUUACCUUACAUCGUAGUAGAAUCAAGAAACUUUGGAAUGGAAGACCGUUUUUAGGAAUGUUGAAGUUCAUGGACUUGAGUUUUUCCAAGGAGCUAACUGAAACUCCAGAUUUCAAAGGAGUUCCAAACCUUGAAAGAUUGUUUCUUGAACACUGCAUAAACCUAGUUAAGGUUCAUGGGUCUCUCGGGAAGCUCAAGAACCUCGUUAAGUUGAGUUUGAGAGGUUGCCAAAAUCUUGUGAUCCUUCCCAGGAAAUUGGAAUUAAAUUCUCUGGCGGAGUUUUCUCUCUAUGGUUGCUCAAAGCUUGAAAAGCUUCCUGAAUUUGGAGAAAACAUGAAUUGUCUCUCCAUCUUUGAUCUGAGUGGAACUAACAUAAGAAAAGUUCCCUCUUCCAUUGUUCAUUUGACAAAUCUUAAGGAGCUAUAUCUCCAUGGAUGCAACUGGCAAGCUUGGAAUUCAUGGAGUUUUUUUGGCUACUUUGGUCAUUUGAUAGGUCGGUUUCUGGGGAAUCCAGUAUCCAAGGGAUUGAAGCUUCCCAAUUCUUUCUCGGGCCUUUCUUCAUUAAGAAAACUGGAUUUGAGUUUUAGCAAUCUGUACGAUGGAGCAAUCCCUAAUGACUUAAGCGGCUUAUCAUCAUUGAUGGAUUUUAAUCUGAGGGGAAACAAUUUUACUUCCUUACCUGUUGGCUGCAUCUCCAAUCUUGUUAACCUUGAGCAAUUUGACUUGAGUAAUUGUGUUCAGCUUCAGUCAUUCCCUCAGCUUCCACCUAAUUUAAUUAGAGUAUAUGCUGGUUGCUGCCCUUCUAUUGAACCCUUAUUGGACAUGCAACAUCUCUUGGAAUCACUACUUAUCUAUAAGACAUGUAGUCUUCUCCUACAUGGAGUCAUUUUUCUGCAUAUUUCAGGAGAUAAGAUCCCAAUUACAGUGUUUAAAGAGCAACAAUGUCACAUUGAUCCAUUUGGAGCAAGUGUAUCUAUAAUAGUAGAUAACCCUAAUUUUUCCUACGAGAGUGAAUUGUGGGGAAUUGCUGUGUGCCUGGUGGUAAAAAGCAAGAAGGCUUUAUAUUACUGCUCAAGAUCCAAAUUUUAUUGGAGAUUCAGAGCUCUUGAAGAAGAUAAAAGCUUGGAGGAACCACAUCAUGUAUUUUAUGUGGGAAAAGCAUAUUCAAUCCCUCAUCUUUACAUAGCAUUUUUUCCUUUGAUCAAUACUCACAAGUUUUGGCGACAUUGCCGCCAACUUGAAUUGCAAAUUGAGGUUGAAAAAGAGUUUAGCAUCAACGAUUGUGGUUGGCGUCUUAUGUGCAAGAAAGAUUUUUGAUGUGUGCCAUACUAGUACUAUCUUCUAAUCCAAAAGCUUCACAAUAACAACUCACAAUCAAUAAUGCUGCCAUGAACUUGAGGAUUUAGGGCAAGAGUAGUGGAUUUCAUAAUCCUUUGAAGAGUGCUAUGCAAACUAUACUCACUUCAAUUUUCUUUCUUUCUUUUUCCUUUUGAAUGAGAAGUAGGGGUUUAAUUUAGGUUAAAGUGUUUUAGUGUUAAUAUUGAUUAUGAGACGUCAAUUUUUUUCCCCCGGCCUGGAGACGUCAAUAUUUCAAACUUUAUUUUAUAUGGGGUUUGAUGGAUGUUUUCUUUGGUAAAGUGAUGUAUUACAAUGGAUAACUAUUGAACAACUUUAAUUGAACAAGGGCUGAACACUUGUCCUAUUGACGUAAGGCCGAUGUGAAAAGGCCCAACAAUCAUUUUUGCCUAACAUUAUACCAAUGAGGCUUGGAAGAGGCCCAUCAAGGUUUUAACUUCUUUCCAAAAAUAUGGCUAAAUAUUUCCCAAAAAUAUUGUUCUAAAGUUUAUGGACUGAAAAGUAUGUUUUCCCCAAUUAAUCUUAAUGAGGGACAUAUUUAAAAAGGAAAUUAUUAAUUAGACACUUUAACAAAAAGCAAUAACAAAUACAAAGACA